rnacentral:rRNA from 1 species
UACGUAGGGCGCAAGCGUUAUCCGGAAUUAUUGGGCGUAAAGAGCUCGUAGGCGGUUUGUCGCGUCUGCCGUGAAAGUCCGGGGCUCAACUCCGGAUCUGCGGUGGGUACGGGCAGACUAGAGUGAUGUAGGGGAGACUGGAAUUCCUGGUGUAGCGGUGAAAUGCGCAGAUAUCAGGAGGAACACCGGUGGCGAAGGCGGGUCUCUGGGCCGUAACUGACGCUGAGGCACGAAAGCGUGGGGAGCAAACAGG